UACGGGGGGGGCAAGCGUUGUUCGGAAUUACUGGGCGUAAAGGGCUCGUAGGUGGCCAACUAAGUCAGACGUGAAAUCCCUCGGCUUAACCGGGGAACUGCGUCUGAUACUGGAUGGCUUGAGUUUGGGAGAGGGAUGCGGAAUUCCAGGUGUAGCGGUGAAAUGCGUAGAUAUCUGGAGGAACACCGGUGGCGAAGGCGGCAUCCUGGACCAACACUGACACUGAGGAGCGAAAGCCAGGGGAGCAAACGGGGU
rnacentral:rRNA from 1 species